UACGUAGGGGGCAAGCGUUGUCCGGAAUCAUUGGGCGUAAAGCGCGUGUAGGCGGUUCGGUAAGUCUGCUGUGAAAGUCCAGGGCUCAACCCUGGGAUGCCGGUGGAUACUGUCGAGCUUGAGUCCGGAAGAGGCGAGUGGAAUUCCUGGUGUAGCGGUGAAAUGCGCAGAUAUCAGGAGGAACACCAAUGGCGAAGGCAGCUCGCUGGGACGUGACUGACGCUGAGACGCGAAAGCGUGGGGAGCAAACCGG
rnacentral:rRNA from 1 species